AUUUCCUAAAGAUAUAAUUAUUGUUGUUUGAUUCAAUUCAAAUUGUUAAAGUUGAUCAUGAUUUAUGUUGGUAAACUUUUAUUUUACAUUGUAGCUUCCAAAUUACUUUGUUCUGUCAGGAAGUUUGAAGUAUAUUUGUAUACUUAUAAACAAUAACCAGUUUUAAGAGAAGAUGUUUUUAAUUCAGAAUAUAGUGGAACUAAUAAUCAAGAUGGAUAUCAUGUUCCAAACAAGUAACUUGCUAUGUUUUCUUUUCAAUGGAUUCAAGUGAGUUUUGUAAGAGCAAUUUGAUGAUCUUGUUACGAAAAUCAGAUAUGAUAAUAAAGUUUGUUCAACUUAAUGAUUAAAUCUUUCCUAUUUAUUUAAUGGGUUGGGUUGAGAUUUAUAAAUUGUAUUUAUAUUUCUUAAGUUAGUUUAUGAAAUCAAAUUAUCAUAAGCCAUGUUGUUUAACAGUAUCCUUUGUAAAUUAGAAUGAGGUUAAUUGGAGUUAGAGAUUGAUAUAGUGAAUUGGAUUAGUAGAAUGGUUUGUAAAUAAGGAGUUGUGGGUAGUUCAUGAAAGAGGUUAGAAGGUAUAAGAAAGUUAAUUGGAGUUAGAGAUUGAUAUAGUGAAUUGGAUUAGUAGAAUGGUUUGUAAAUAAGGAGUUGUGGGUAGUUCAUGAAAGAGGUUAGAAGGUAUGAGAAAGUUAAUUUCUUUAUCUAAUUGGUAGUAAGGAUGUUGAUUGUUGUUCAUAUUGUUGUGAGGUGAUUGUUGGAGAUUGAUAAAGAAUUUGGAAAUGUUGGAACCUUGAAGAUUAUAAUGGAAUCGAGCGUUCUUUGGGGAAAUGAAGGAGAGUUCUUUGUUAGUGAUCUUGCAGGUUCGUAUGUGGAAAGCUCGAAAUGGAGUAAAAGGAAGAACUUAAGUAUCAAGGUUAUAAUGAGAUGUAAGGGUUCCGAGGUGUUGUAUUUGGGAUUAUUUAUCCUUAUUUAUGAAUAAAUUAUUAUAUUGCUUUAGAAGUCGAGCAAGGUAUUAUUGUAAUAUGUUAUUGGUUAUUGAGGAUGUUGUGUGGCCCUGACCCACAGGUCCAGGAUCGUGUAUUGAAGGUUUUAUUCCGCUGCGAGUAAAUAAUUAAUUCGAGGCUAUUAAGUGUUAAUUGA